UUUUUUUUUUUUUUUUUUUUUUUUUUACACUGUAGCCCUGGGAAUUGUUUGUGUCUCAAAACUUCACUUGUGUCUCUGCUGAUUAGUGUCACAUACUGACUCCUGUCACUUACAGACCUAGUCUCUGUGCUGACUAAGAAGGCAUUUCCAUUUUGAAAUGUCAUCUUAGAAUAUCUUUGCCUUCUUAUUUUUUAAUUUAUUAUUUACAAUCUCCAAAUUUUAAUCUUUGACCUUCCUAAUGUUUGGUUCAGACUCUGUCAUUAUACACACAACCAAUUCCCUCUAUGAUGAGGUUAAUAUUUUUUUCUUUUUUCUCCAAAUGUCUUUAGCAAUUUUUGUUUUGCCUGUAGUGUCAAACUGAAAAUCCUUAUGGAAUAUAAAGCUUCAAAAGGCUUAGACUCAGUUCAGUUUCUUUACACAGUACGUGUUAGCCUUUUAUAGAAAGGCCUAUGCAUUCAAAUUUGUCUAUAAACCCUUCCCCAACUUCUCAAAACUAUGGUCUUCUUUCUUAGUCUCAUUGCUAAUAUGAAGCAUUGAAUCACAGAAUGAUUUUGUUGAAGUUUUGCUUUUAGCUACUGAGCAGAAUCCUGACUACUGUCUUAAUCUGUGACAGUUUUCCUUUUAUCACAGAUAUUUUCAUGAAUUAAGAAAAUCAGCGGUGAGUUUUCUAUUAUAGCACCAAUCUGAGGAAUGUUCAAAGCAGAUAUGACCUAUCUUAUACACUAUCUUCUAAAUAUUCACAGUUAUCUAACAUCUGUGAAGGACUAUAAUAUGUUAGUAAUUUAUUCUAUUACUUAAUUACACUGUUAUGUAAAAUAAUACUAUCUCAAUCUCAAGAUGAGAAGACCCAGGUCAUAAGUAUUAAUCAAGUCUCUUCUUGUUAUAGACAGGACUAUUAUUCCAUUUGCAUCUUCAGAGUUCAUAUCUGGCACUUUGUAUUCCUGACUUUGUAAAUUCUUGGUAUCUGAAGGUAUUUUAAAAUUUCAUUAGUAUCUGAUUUUCCAGAAAUGCAGUGAACAAGAUAGGUAGUUAUAUAGGUAAAUAAAUUAAGUUGGAGGAAGGUCACAGAUUUACCAACCCUAACUCCAAAAGCCCACUUAAACCCACCCCUAUUUAAGGUCACUGUAGCCCAAACAAUGUAGCCUGGAAUAGUACAGUUAUUUAAGUAAUAGCUUGUUUAUAGGGCUUAUACUAAAAAAUAUUUAAAGCCAUUCAAGCUUUGAAAACUAGAUUGAUUCGCACCCUGUAUUUCAAUAGUUCUCCUUGUAAGAUCCCAAACUGGGGGAGGGAAGCUAAGAUAUAAUUGAAAACGUGGCAAUAAAUAGCUAAAUACAGCAAACAGCAUUAGAGUCUCUUUCAACACAGUAUAUGAUCUUCAAAGAAACUUGUUUAUGGACCUGGAUUUAGACUCUGACAUUAGACAAUUCAGUUAAUGUAGGUCAAGAUUAUUUCUUUUCAAAGGCAGGAUGAGUUCUCCCACCAUUCUCUCAGAUCUGAAGCAAGGCCUGAGUUCUCAGGAUGAGUUGUCCUGAUGGGAAUUACUUUCCAUCUGAGUCCCAGGGCACAAGCGAUCAUAGCUGCGUUCAUCUUCACUGGCUGGAGGAGGAGCUUUAGCCCAAGAGUAGGGCACACAUAGCCAUGAAGAAUGCUCUCUAAUUAUGCCUAUGAUAUAUGGGAAGUCUGUGUCCCAUUUGGGAAUUGCUGAGCGAAUAGUCUUGAAAAACAUAUUUUUAAACCUGUUUGUUGUAAUUUGUGUGUUAUGCUAUAACAUGAUAACUGCUUUUAUUACCUAAAGAACUGGGCAAAUGGAUUGCUUAUAUUAUUUCUUUUAUUAAUUGAAUAAUAGGCUUUAUCUGGAAAGUCACCUUUCUUUGAACUCCCCUUCAUUUUAGAAAUUUAUCUCUCAAGCUUUGUUUUCCAGGAUGCUAUUUGAUUUAAAAUUUUACUUAAACUUUGUAAUGAAUAGGGAUUGGACUUCAAAGGGUAAUAUACUCUACUAACUAUGUUGCUGAGAUCAAACACAUUGAGAAGUGACCUAGGUGGCCACUCUGAGUAAUUGGAGUAAAGUGAGGCUUCUCAUUAUUGCAUCUGAAAAUGAGGACAGCAUCCUUUCACUAUCACAUUUAUAUGAAAACUCCAUUCACGUGUCCAUAAUUAGGACCUAACAUAGAGACACUUCGUUACUUUUAUAAGUUUUCUCAG
rnacentral:lncRNA from 1 species